CUUUUAGUGUGAUCUUUAUAUUAUAAUGUUAGAUAUAUGGAAAAUUAAUAUAAUUGCUACUAAAUUAUAAGGCUUAGUUAUUUAACUUUACUUAUUAAGAUGGCCUACGGCAGCCCCGUUAAAAUCUAGAUAUAUAUCAAAUGUCAUUAGUUGGUUAGGUAGCUACUAAUGUCAGAAAUUUACCUGCAAACUUUCAA
rnacentral:other from 1 species